GGAAGAGGGGGGUUUUUUGGUUAAAAGAUUGGGUACAAGUAAUAGAUCAUAAUGUUUUAUUACUCAAUAUUUUUAAAAUCUGUCUUGUUUUUGGUGUGGAUUUCUUGGGGAUAAAAAAUUGUCACAUGUCAAGUUUAGGGAUAGGAAAAGAUAGAAAAUGGCUAGUUUUUUCCCAGUAUAAACUUGAAUGCCUAGUAAUAUUUAGUCCCUAAUGCUUGUCAAUAUUAAAUAGUUAAUCCUUCUAUUUUUAAAAUCUAAUUAGUUCAUUUCUAUGUUUUGAUUCCAUUAACAAUUUUGUCCUUCUGUCCAAAAAUCAAUAUUUUGCCUUUAAAAUCAAGGGAAAAGACUAUACUAUCCCCCUUCUUCCCCUCUUUCGAUUGUGUUCUUUGUCGUGCUCUCUCCCUCUCUCUCUAGUU
rnacentral:misc_RNA from 1 species